rnacentral:lncRNA from 1 species
ACUGGAGUGGGACCGUUUAAUCCUGGUAGGAUGAAUGUUGCAGGAGAUGUAUUUCAGAAUGGAGAGUCUGCACCUCAUCAUAAUCCUGAUUCUUGGAUCUCCCAGUCAGCAUCAUUUCCUCGUAACCAGAAACAACAAGGAGUGGAUUCUUUAUCACCAGUGGCCUCACUUCCUAAACAGAAUUUCCAGCCCUCAAACCAACAACCCACUAAACCAGUUAAAGUCACUUGUGCAAACUGCAAAAAACCUCUACAGAAGGGGCAGACAGCUUAUCAACGAAAAGGAUCAGCUCACCUCUUUUGUUCAACCACCUGCCUUUCUUCUUUCUCUCAUAAACCUGCUCCAAAGAAACUCUGUGUUAUGUGUAAAAAAGAUAUAACUACAAUGAAAGGAACCAUUGUUGCUCAAGUGGACUCGAGUGAGUCCUUCCAAGAAUUUUGUAGUACAUCUUGUUUGUCUCUCUAUGAGGACAAGCAGAGUCCUGCUAAAGGAGCUCUAAAUAAAUCAAGAUGCACAAUCUGUGGUAAAUUGACUGAGAUUCGCCAUGAAGUUAGUUUUAAAAACAUGACUCAUAAGCUGUGCAGUGACCACUGCUUUAACAGAUACAGAAUGGCCAAUGGUCUGAUAAUGAAUUGCUGUGAACAGUGUGGAGAAUAUUUGCCCAGUAAAGGUGCUGGAAAUAAUUUUAGAUCAGGGCUGUCAGACGUCCCGAACCAAAAUGACAGGCUCAGCACCACCCCCUUCUCCUACACCAAACAAAGAGAUGAAGAACAAAGCGAUUCUUUGCAAACCUUUAACAAUGACAAAAGCAACUUACUGUAAGCCUCACAUGCAGACCAAGUCUUGUCAGACAGGUAACGGGGACGUUUGGGUUACACCUCCUCCUACUUAGACCUUACUGCUUUAAAGUGAGUGCUUUUUUUUUUUUCCACUUUUUUUUUUCUUUUUUUUCGGAGCUGGGGACGGAACCCAGGGCCUUGCGCUUGCUAGGCAAGUGCUCUACCACUGAGCUAAAUCCCCAACCCCAGUGAGUGCUUUUCUAGAGUGAAACGCUACAGGAUCGGCGUGAUAGGGCAUCAUGUCCUUUUCAUCUGUGUGACUCUUUUUUUAUAUUUCCUUGAGAAUAAAGCAUAUUAAUCAAA